rnacentral:rRNA from 1 species
CAGUAGCCGCGGGAAUACGUAGGUGGCAAGCGUUGUCCGGAAUUAUUGGGCGUAAAGGGCUCGCAGGCGGUUUCUUAAGUCUGAUGUGAAAGCCCCCGGCUCAACCGGGGAGGGUCAUUGGAAACUGGGAAACUUGAGUGCAGAAGAGGAGAGUGGAAUUCCACGUGUAGCGGUGAAAUGCGUAGAGAUGUGGAGGAACACCAGUGGCGAAGGCGACUCCCUGGUCUGUAACUGACGCUGAGGAGCGAAAGCGUGGGGAGCGAACAGGAUUAGAUACCCCAGUAGUCCCUGUCUCUUAUAC